AACUUUUUGAAGCUCCUAGGGGGAAAAACAAAACAAAACAAAACAAAACAAACCUUCCUCUUCAGGAGAAAGACAACAGAAGCCAACAGAAAGCUUCUUCCUAAAGAACUGUCUAUGAAUAUCUUAGAGGUAGACAACUGAUUUAAGAAGACCAAGGGGAUGAUUCUUCUGACAGCCAUAACCACAAGAUUUCAGAUUUUGGGCUCCAGUAAAACAUCAAAUCUACAAAAAUCACAACAUGGCCAGCUUUCCCACUCUCUUCUGCUUAUUACUUUCCAGCUCUACAAAUAUGGGAGCCGGGUGAUGCUAACGAGGAAACAAAGGGACUGCGCUCUGCUUCACGUGGGAUCCGUCUGAUGAAAAGAAAAUGCUGAGAGAACUGGGAUUCCCAAAGAAGAUGCUGCAGAAGAUAUUUUCCACAUUAAAGAACAUUUGAUCUGUUCCACCAGUAGAUGAACCAUUAGCAGAAGCAAUCAUUAUCAGAGCCAGUAAAAGGAAAUAAAGAAAUGAGGCUUGGUUUUUAAAGUGACCACAUUGCUUCUAAGUCGAGGUGAAAGUGCUGACAGUGAAUUUAUCAGAAUUCCAGGUGGAAUCCUCCAGAGUCACCUUUCAAUCAUAACUGUCAUCCUCAGAGAAAAAGCUUUUGUUGAAGAAAAAUUUGUACAAACAUUGAAUAAUCACAUUGAUAUGGUAACAAUUUAACAAUACAUUCAAUAAGAAUGAAUGUUACAGUGGGUCACUUUUUCCCUGCUUUUUAUCAAACCUUUGUAUUUUCCCCAGAUUUUACAAGUAAUAAAUCCUCAUUGUAGAACAUUUGAGAAAGAUAUAAAUAAGAAAAUAAAAGCAGUGCAUAAGACUUUCUCUGAGCAAUGGCCACUAUUAAUAUGCUGAUUCAUUUCAUAAAUGUAUAUAUUUAUAAUCACACACUCAUUUGUGCUUUAGUUAUAUAGUUGAAAUUAUAUUGAAUGUAAUGUCCUUUCUUGCUUUUUCAUUUUUUCCCUUGCAUUUUAUUUAACAUAAAGGUAUAGGUAUAGGUCAACUUCUAAAUGAAUACUUUUAUAAUGAAUUUAUAUUUAAAUUUACAAUUAUUAAAAAUAAUUGUUGAAAAAUUAGCCUUUAUUUCAAAGUGAGUAUGGAACCUAUUCAAACAAAACAUUUUCUAGAAACUCAUGAAAGCAUUUCAGAAUAAUUUUUUGACAGUUCUUCCUAAACGAGAUCUUGUAGGAAAGAAGUGUUUAUGAAGGAUUAUUAAAAUAUUACCAAAUAGAAUUAAGGCAGAUUUUUAUCUUUUGAUUUAACUUGGAAAUCAUCCAUUGCUUCACCCUUUAGUCUUCCUAUUUUUGCGCCUUAGAGAAAUGUUUUACAUGGCUACCAGUGCAUUUUAAAAUAGUGUCUAAUACUGCAAAGUAAGUUGAGAUUUCUUUAUCCUGUGCUUAAACCUAAUAUAUACUACUUAUUCUGUAUUUGAAAAAUAUAGUAUAAAGAAAAUACCCUUAAUGCAAAAAAUAUUGAGGAUCAGUAUAUUCUUGGAAGCAAAUGUGAAGCCUCUGUGUAUAUGACAAGCCACACACACAAGCACGCAUUCAGUAGGAAACAGAUCUCCCUCGAAAUCUGAGAGGGUAAAAUGUUCAAAUAUUAUGCAAACUGGAGAAGUGCCACCAUCUCCUGUACGCAGGAGCCUGAAGCUAAUUGUACAAGUGGCACGAAGCUGAUUUCAGAAAGUAAAAAAAAAAAAAAAGGCUCAUGAAACCAGAGGCUUGAAAUGUUUUACUGGAGAAAAACCAUAGCAUUACCUCCUCCUGUGGGAUGAUAACAAUGAUUUAUGAAGCUGAAGUCAUUCCUUGUGAUUGCACUUCAGGGAGAUUGGUUUCACAUGAUCUGCGAAGGCAGGCAAGGCGAGCUGAAGAAGAACCCCACAUGUUCAACUGAGGCUGAGCUCUGCCUCUUCAAGGGGAUUCCAGAGCUCCGAGGAGGGGGAGGAAAACCUACUGCUUUCUGAUCCAUGCAACCCCCUUCCCCCCAACCAACAAGCUUAUUAGGUGGACAUACGGCUCUCUUAUUUUCUCUCUCCUUUUAAAAAGUAUUACUACUUCUGCUGUGUGGGAGUAGAAGCUUGUUGUAAAUGCCCAGCAGGAUAGUAGCAAAGCCAAGAUUAAUUCCCUAUGGAUUUAUAUGGGUCGUUCUCACCCACGAUGACUUGUACCGUUUCAAAGGUGCUUAUGCUGCUGUUUUUAUGGCUGGUCACUAACUUUAUUCUGGCAUAUGGUGGUUGGCGCCAUGACAUGGAGUGAACAUUUUAUACCUGAAUUAAAGUGGAUAUUUGACAGUUUCUGUCAGAAAGUUCAGAGCAAAGAAUUUGUGGGACAAGAUUUAUUGCAUAUUUUAUAUGGGACACAUCUGUUUCUUUGCUAGCUUUGUUCCUUCCCACAAAAAAAUUUAAAGACGUUUCCUAAAGAAAUAUAAUGACUGAUAGGAAAAAAAUUCCAAAGCAGAAGAAAAAUAUGGUCAAAAGUUGGGCAUUUAGGAUCUAACUUUAUAAAAAAGAAAGAAAAAAAACCACUUCUCAUUUUGACGAGGAAAAAUGACUCACAGUCAUGUAUAGAAGCUCAGUGAAACAAUGCUGUUAUUAUUGGCAAUUAUUUUAUGGUUAGUUUAAUGUCAUUUAUAUAAUGAAAUUAAAAAUGUAAAUGUAUUACCUACCAUUUUUCGCAUACUUGAAACAGGACUGGCAAGAAUAAUCUGCCUUUGAUGUAUUUUUAAGAUUUUGCCAUCUCAAAUGGUGGACUGAAUAAUAAGUCCAGCUACAUCAGUGUUAAACAAAAUAAUUACAGAUAUUUAAACAUUUAAAACUGAUAUGCCUAAAGAUAAACGCAGACGACUUCCAACCAAAAUCCAUCAAUACAACCUGAAGGGUGUAUAUAAACUUCUCAUCUAAAAACUCCCUGUAUUGUAAAAAGUCAACUGAGUAACAAAGAUUCAUGAUUACAACGUGAAGGGUGUAUAUAAACUUCUCAUCUAAAAACUCCCUCUACUAUAAAAAGUGAACUGAGUAACAGAGAUUCAUGAUUACAUAAAAAGCGGGCUCAACCUGAAACUUUGCGUUAACAGACAGGCCACUUUUUCUUUUAACUGCAAAGAGAGAGGCUUUAAUUCUAUUAUGAAACUGAAAAUAAAACUUCCACUCUUAAAUAUUUUGCAAAAUUAAUCCUUAACUAAUUUAGGUUAUAUGCAUUCUCCUUAUAAAAAUAUAAAACAUUACAGAUAAAGUCCCCCUGAUAGCCCUCUGCAUCACACCCUCUGUCUCCCCCAACACAUAUAUAUAUAUAGUUAUCUUCUACAACUCAAGUACUGUUAUCAUUUUGGGAGUAUCCUUCCAGAACUUCUGAGUGUCCCUGUGCAAACAUGCAAGGUUUCUCUAAGACAGACAUAGAGAAGUAGAUUUGUUAGUGUUAUCAGGUAGACAUAGUUUUAAUUUAUUUGAGACUGUCAGUCCUCCACAAUGAUAGUAUAAUUUAAUACUACGAAGGGCUGAUAAUUGUUUUGUCAAACUUUUAAAAUUCUGCAAAUUACAUAGAUUUUGGUACCAACCCUUGGUUAAAUAUUUUGCAAAUAUAUUUUCCCAUGCUUUUGCUUGUCUAUUAACUUUGUUUACAACGUUUAUCAUUUUUAAAUUUAAAUCUGAAACAGUCAAAUUCAUAAAUACUCUUCAUGUCUUUUGCUGAUUAAAUCAUUUGCAAGAAGGUCUCGUCUACUCCCAAGGUAAUAAAGAGGUCUCGUAUUUUAAUACUGUCUAUAUUUUUGGUUUUGCUUUUGUCCUUUAGAUUAUUAUUUGAAAUUGUGUGAGGCAGUUUUGUUGUUGUUGUUGGAGAUGGAUAAACACUGUUCAAAUGUCACAGAUUUUCUAAGAUACAAUUUUCUAAGAGAUAAUCAGAUUUUCUAAGAGAUAAUCAGUAUCCAAAUAAUGGCAGAUUGUCUUGUCCUCUCUCAGGUUUAAAUGAGUCAUUUCUUUUUCCUUUCAGCUGCCUGGGUAAAGUUGGUCCAUUCGUGUUUAUUUUGAUUAUGAAUAUAUUUAGAUUAAUCCUCAUAUUUAUUUUGUACUUUUCUUCACCAAGCUUGCUGGCU